rnacentral:rRNA from 1 species
AGCGAACGCUGGCGGCAGGCUUAACACAUGCAAGUCGAGCGCCCCGCAAGGGGAGCGGCAGACGGGUGAGUAACACGUGGGAACGUGCCUUUUGGUUCGGAACAACCCAGGGAAACUUGGGCUAAUACCGGAUAAGCCCUUACGGGGAAAGAUUUAUCGCCAAAAGAGCGGCCCGCGUCUGAUUAGCUAGUUGGUGGGGUAAUGGCCCACCAAGGCUACGAUCAGUAGCUGGUCUGAGAGGAUGAUCAGCCAAAUUGGGACUGAGACACGGCCCAAACUCCUACGGGAGGCAGCAGUGGGGAAUAUUGGACAAUGGGGGCAACCCUGAUCCAGCCAUACCGCGUGAGUGAUGAAGGCCUUAGGGUUGUAAAGCUCUUUUAGCAGGGAAGAUAAUGACGGUACCUGCAGAAAAGGCCCCGGCUAACUUCGUGCCAGCAGCCGCCGUAA